rnacentral:tRNA from 2 species
UGCCCGAUAGCUCAAUUGGCAGAGCGCCAGUUUCUGGAUCUGGAGGUUCAAGGUUCGAUUCCUUGUCGGGCAGCCA